AUUAUAAUUCCUCCGUUCGGAAUUACAUGUCUCAGAAAUGGAUGUAUCUAGAACUAAAAAAUGUCUAGAUACAUCCAUUUCUGCGACAAGUAAUUCCGAACAGAGGGAGUACAAC
rfam:Triticum urartu cultivar G1812 contig446860, whole genome shotgun sequence.